rnacentral:rRNA from 1 species
UACGUAGGUGGCAAGCGUUGUCCGGAAUUACUGGGCGUAAAGGGCGCGUAGGCGGCCAUCUAAGUCAGACGUGAAAUCCCCCGGCUUAACCUGGGAACUGCGUCUGAUACUGGAAGGCUUGAGUAUGGGAGAGGGAUGUAGAAUUCCUGGUGUAGCAGUGAAAUGCGUAGAUAUCUGGAGGAACACCGGUGGCGAAGGCGGCAUCCUGGACCGGUAUUGACGCUGAGGCGCGAAAGCCAGGGGAGCAAACGGG